ACCUUAAACCACAUUGACUGAUGGAGUACCUUAUGAAAUGGCUAUCACCAAACUGAACUUUAUUUAUGUCUCCAUGAGAAAUACCUUUCUUUCUUAAACUCUUACUGAUGCCGGUGUAUAUCCUACCAUUCAAUUACCACUAUAUAAAGCUAUAUAAGGACGCUGUAUUGUUCUAUGCCACCAUUCUCUAUCAAGAAAUGGCUUAAGUUUUAAAAAGGAAAGAAGAGACCACAAGUCCUUUAAAGAAUUUUGAAUCGGAGUACCUAAAAAUAACAGAAAACUGUUUUAACUUCAUAACCAGAAUAUCCAUCUGGCCCAAUCAGAGAAAACAAGAGCUGAAAAUGGGCAUUCUGUAUUAGGCACACCCACUAACUACCAAGCUUACAGCUUUUGUCUGCUGAGCAUUUGGAUUUCUUAUGGCAUGUCCUUCAUCCAGGAUCACUC